UACGUAGGGGGCGAGCGUUGUCCGGAUUCAUUGGGCGUAAAGCGCGCGUAGGCGGCUCCGCAAGUCGGCCGUGAAAUCUCCGGGCUCAACUCGGAGGGGUCGGGCGAGACUGCGAGGCUCGAGGUGGGCAGAGGGCAGUGGAAUCCCGGGUGUAGUGGUGGAAUGCGUAGAGAUCCGGAGGAACACCAGUGGCGAAGGCGGCUGCCUGAGCCUGGCCUGACGCUGAGGCGCGAAAGCGUGGGGAGCAAUCCGG
rnacentral:rRNA from 1 species